GAUGAACGCUGGCGGCGUGCCUAAUACAUGCAAGUCGAGCGAACAGACGAGGAGCUUGCUCCUUUGACGUUAGCGGCGGACGGGUGAGUAACACGUAGGUAACCUACCUAUAAGACUGGGAUAACUUCGGGAAACCGGAGCUAAUACCGGAUAAUAUUUCGAACCGCAUGGUUCGAUAGUGAAAGAUGGCUUUGCUAUCACUUAUAGAUGGACCUGCGCCGUAUUAGCUAGUUGGUAAGGUAACGGCUUACCAAGGCAACGAUACGUAGCCGACCUGAGAGGGUGAUCGGCCAAAAUGGAACUGAGACACGGUCCAGACUCCUACGGGAGGCAGCAGUAGGGAAUCUUCCGCAAUGGGCGAAAGCCUGACGGAGCAACGCCGCGUGAGUGAUGAAGGUCUUCGGAUCGUAAAACUCUGUUAUUAGGGAAGAACAAACGUGUAAGUAACUGUGCACGUCUUGACGGUACCUAAUCAGAAAGCCACGGCUAACUACGUG
rnacentral:rRNA from 1 species